rnacentral:rRNA from 1 species
CCAGACUCCUACGGGAGGCAGCAGUAGGGAAUCUUCCGCAAUGGACGAAAGUCUGACGGAGCAACGCCGCGUGAGUGAUGAAGGCUUUCGGGUCGUAAAACUCUGUUGUUAGGGAAGAACAAGUGCUAGUUGAAUAAGCUGGCACCUUGACGGUACCUAACCAGAAAGCCACGGCUAACUACGUGCCAGCAGCCGCGGUAAUACGUAGGUGGCAAGCGUUAUCCGGAAUUAUUGGGCGUAAAGCGCGCGCAGGUGGUUUCUUAAGUCUGAUGUGAAAGCCCACGGCUCAACCGUGGAGGGUCAUUGGAAACUGGGAGACUUGAGUGCAGAAGAGGAAAGUGGAAUUCCAUGUGUAGCGGUGAAAUGCGUAGAGAUAUGGAGGAACACCAGUGGCGAAGGCGACUUUCUGGUCUGUAACUGACACUGAGGCGCGAAAGCGUGGGGAGCAAACAGGAUUAGAUACCCUGGUAGUCCACGCCGUAAACGAUGAGUGCUAAGUGUUAGAGGGUUUCCGCCCUUUAGUGCUGAAGUUAACGCAUUAAGCACUCCGCCU